GAUGAACGCUGGCGGCGUGCCUAAUACAUGCAAGUCGAGCGAACAGAUGAGGAGCUUGCUCCUCUGACGUUAGCGGCGGACGGGUGAGUAACACGUGGAUAACCUACCUAUAAGACUGGGAUAACUUCGGGAAACCGGAGCUAAUACCGGAUAAUAUAUUUAACCGCAUGGUUCAAUAGUGAAAGACGGUUUUGCUGUCACUUAUAGAUGGAUCCGCGCCGCAUUAGCUAGUUGGUAAGGUAACGGCUUACCAAGGCAACGAUGCGUAGCCGACCUGAGAGGGUGAUCGGCCACACUGGAACGGAGACACGGUCCAGACUCCUACGGGAGGCAGCAGUAGGGAAUCUUCCGCAAUGGGCGAAAGCCUGACGGAGCAACGCCGCGUGAGUGAUGAAGGUCUUCGGAUCGUAAAACUCUGUUAUUAGGGAAGAACAAAUGUGUAAGUAACUAUGCACGUCUUGACGGUACCUAAUCAGAAAGCCACGGCUAGCUACGUG
rnacentral:rRNA from 1 species